GGACCGCAUGAUCCUUUAUUAAUAGAUUUAUCGCUACCGGAUUGGCUCGCGUACCAUUAGCUAGUUGGCGGGGUAACGGCCCACCAAGGCGACGAUGGUUAGGGGUUCUGAGAGGAAGGUCCCCCACAUUGGAACUGAGACACGGUCCAGACUCCUACGGGAGGCAGCAGUGAGGAAUAUUGGACAAUGGCCGAGAGGCUGAUCCAGCCAUGCCGCGUGCGGGAAGACGGCCCUAUGGGUUGUAAACCGCUUUUGUUGGGGAGCAAUAAGGAUCACGUGUGGUCCGACGAGAGUACCCAGCGAAUAAGCAUCGGCUAACUCCGUGCCAGCAGCCGCGGUAAUACGGAGGAUGCAAGCGUUAUCCGGAUUUAUUGGGUUUAAAGGGUGCGUAGGCGGAUGCCUAAGCGUGAGGUGAAAUCCCCGGGCUCAACCUGGGAACUGCCUCGCGAACUGGGUGUCUGGAAUGCUCCUGCCGUGGGAGGAAUGUGUGGUGUAGCGGUGAAAUGCAUAGAGAUCACACAGAACACCGAUUGCGAAGGCAUCUCACGAAGGGGUGAUUGACGCUGAGGCACGAAAGCGU
rnacentral:rRNA from 1 species